rnacentral:rRNA from 1 species
UACGAAGGGGGCUAGCGUUGCUCGGAAUCACUGGGCGUAAAGCGCACGUAGGCGGAUUGUUAAGUCAGGGGUGAAAUCCUGGAGCUCAACUCCAGAACUGCCUUUGAUACUGGCGAUCUUGAGUCCGGGAGAGGUGAGUGGAACUGCGAGUGUAGAGGUGAAAUUCGUAGAUAUUCGCAAGAACACCGGUGGCGAAGGCGGGUCUCUGGGCCGAUACUGACGCUGAGGAGCGAAAGCGUGGGGAGCGAACAGG